rnacentral:snRNA from 1 species
GUGCUUGUUUUGACAGUACAUAUACUAAAAUUGGAAUGAUAGAGGGAAGAUUAGCAUUAUCCUGAACAAGGAUGAAGAGUAGGGUUUUAAAUUUUC